rnacentral:rRNA from 1 species
AACGAACGCUGGCGGCAUGCCUAACACAUGCAAGUCGAACGAAGCCUUCGGGCUUAGUGGCGCACGGGUGCGUAACGCGUGGGAAUCUGCCCCUUGCUUCGGAAUAACAGUUAGAAAUGACUGCUAAUACCGGAUGAAGUCUUCGGACCAAAGAUUUAUCGGCAAGGGAUGAGCCCGCGUAGGAUUAGGUAGUUGGUGGGGUAAAGGCCUACCAAGCCGACGAUCCUUAGCUGGUCUGAGAGGAUGAUCAGCCACACUGGGACUGAGACACGGCCCAGACUCCUACGGGAGGCAGCAGUGGGGAAUAUUGGACAAUGGACGCAAGUCUGAUCCAGCAAUGCCGCGUGAGUGAUGAAGGCCCUAGGGUUGUAAAGCUCUUUUACCAGGGAUGAUAAUGACAGUACCUGGAGAAUAAGCUCCGGCUAACUCCGUG